AACGAACGCUGGCGGCGUGCUUAACACAUGCAAGUCGAACGCGAAAGGGGCUUCGGUCCCGAGUAGAGUGGCGCACGGGUGAGUAAUGCGUAAGUAAUCUACCCCCGCAUUCGGAAUAACUCGUCGAAAGGUGAGCUAAUAUCGGAUACGUUUAUCUUGAUGCGAAUGAUGAUAAAGAAAGGUGGCCUCUUCAUGAAAGCUACUGUGCAGGGAUGAGCUUGCGUACCAUUAGCUAGUUGGUAGGGUAAUGGCCUACCAAGGCGACGAUGGUUAGCGGGUCUGGGAGGAUGAGCCUCCACACUGGAACUGGACCACGGACCAGCAUACGACGGACGGCAGCAGUGAGGAAUAUUGCGCAAUGGGGGCAACCCUGACGCAGCGACGCCGCGUGGAUGAUGAAGGCCCUUGGGUCGUAAAAUCCUGUCAGAUGGGAAGAAAUGUAUGGGUGUUAAUAUCGCCUGUAUUUGACGGUACCAUCAAAGGAAGCACCGGCUAACUCCGUGCCAGCAGCCGCGGUAACAC
rnacentral:rRNA from 1 species